UGUAUGACGUCAGGUGAGAAAUUGUACUUAGAGUGCGAGUUUAUUCCAUUAGUGAAAUAGUCUCUGCGUCUUUACAUGCAUAUGUAGUUACUGAAGUAAACACCGUCUACAUGGGUUUUUCAUUAUGUCUCUCUCUAUAAUGGACACUAAACAGUCUCAGAAGUUAGAGUUGUGAGGAUUUUCAGACUCAUCCUUGAGUCUUGCUGCCUCUGAUUGUGUAAUUGUAUUUGUCAUGUGAUAUUACCACCUUUCCUUAUAUAAUAAUAUACUUUGCAUAAAAUAAGUGACGUAAACCAAAGGGCACUUUAUAUACA